rnacentral:rRNA from 1 species
AUUGAACGCUGGCGGAAUGCUUUACACAUGCAAGUCGAACGGUAGAGGGGGCAACCCCUCGAGAGUGGCGAACGGGUGAGUAAUAUAUCGGAACGUGCCCAGUCGUGGGGGAUAACGUAGCGAAAGUUACGCUAAUACCGCAUACGAUCUACGGAUGAAAGCGGGGGAUCGCAAGACCUCGCGCGAUUGGAGCGGCCGAUAUCAGAUUAGGUAGUUGGUGGGGUAAAGGCUCACCAAGCCAACGAUCUGUAGCUGGUCUGAGAGGACGACCAGCCACACUGGAACUGAGACACGGUCCAGACUCCUACGGGAGGCAGCAGUGGGGGAAUAUUGCACAAUGGACGAAAGUCUGAUGCAGCAACGCCGCGUGGAGGAUGACACAUUUCGGUGCGUAAACUCCUUUUAUAUAGGAAGAU